rnacentral:rRNA from 3 species
UCUCGGCAACGGAUAUCUCGGCUCUCGCAUCGAUGAAGAACGCAGCGAAAUGCGAUACCUGGUGUGAAUUGCAGAAUCCCGCGAACCAUCGAGUCUUUGAACGCAAGUUGCGCCCGAGGCCAUUCGGCCGAGGGCACGCCUGCCUGGGCGUCACGCAAAACACGCUC